AAACACUCAAUCGGGUCCCUUGUCAGAGUGCCUCGCAGCACCUGAACGACGGUGACUGGGCACAGCUGCCUUUGUUCUGCCACCGUCAGAUGGGGCUGGCUGUGGGAGGCGACCAAAGACGUCCCCGCACCUGCCCUCAGAGCCUUUCCCUCCUCCAGAGCUCAGCCACCUCAGGCAGCCUUCAGUCUGUGCGUCCUGCCACCCCCGAGAUGUCCCAGAGGCCACGGUCACCCCAUCUGUUCCUGCCCCCAGAACCUUCUCCUGGAGCCAAGUAUCUGCAGGGACAGACAAGUGAGCGUCUGGGGGUUUGGUGCUGGGGUGUAGAAGGCUGUGGGGUGCUGCCCUGCCCCAGGCAGCCUGACUGUGAGAGCCCCAAACAGGACACAUCCCAGCCCCUUCCCCUCCCCUCUACGCUGCCCACCCUCUGAGGAGCAGUGGCCAAGUUCCUCUCUGAGCCUCUCAGGCCAGGCUGGCCCUGUCCCCCAGGGCCUCCCAUGAAGCCUGGGAGCUAUUCCCUCACAGGCAGCACAGACCUGGACGGACACCUGUCCCUGUGCCCCAGCGCCCCCAGGCCCCAGUGAGGAGUAGCCAGGGGGGUGAACAAGGGGGUUCCUGCUGCCUGGACUUGUUUGGGAAGAAGAUGCUGGGCUCAAAGGUUCUUCAGACAGCCUCGCCUUCCCUGCUGGCCCCAGAGCAUGGCAGGUCCCUGGAGCCGUGGAGGCCAUGGCAGCCCCAGCCCAGCCCACCCCACCCCAUCUGGGGAAGUGGAAAUCGUAUCCACGAGGGUCAGUUCAGGUCUCUGCCUACAGUGACGUGGCAGUUUUGUGCCCAACUAGGGCCUGGGUCAGGCCCAGGCCGCCCCCACCCACACCCUACCCAGAGCUCAGAGAAGACGGCCCAGCCUUCUCCCCACGUCAGUCAUGCUGAGCCCCGCAUCUGCGUUCACUCCUUUAAGAAACGUGGUUGACUCAAUCCAGUGCUGCACAUUCACAGGAUGGCUCUCCAUGGGUCCACUAGGGGCCCAACCUCUUAUGUGGCCCCUCGCUAAAAGGACUCAACAAAAAGAGUGACCAGGCACCGACCCUCGUUUGCAGGAGGACUUGGCCAUUCCCUGGGCUGUCCCACAGCACCUGCCGGCCAGGGCCCAGGGCACAGAGCGAGACUCUGUCUUUUCCUCAAGGAGACACCGUGGGGGAGGGAGGGAGAGGUAGACACCACCAACCUCAUCCCAUGACCAGGGGCUGGCGACGCUCAGAGGCCCAUGAGUGUGUUCUCCACCCGGAAGGGUCAGUGCCGGCUCCCUGGACCCAGGGGAAGAUGGCGCAGGCGGUGGCCCGGCCUGGGGAAGGAACUGAAGCCACCCUCCUGGAGAGAAACUGACGCCUCCCCAGUUCCUGUUAGGAAGGACCUCAGGAAAGAACUGGGAUCAGGCAGCCUGGGGUGGCGGCCUCCGGGCCCCUGAGGAGGAUGUCAGGCCGCAGAAGGGAGGGGAUGGGCAUGAAGCUUGGGAAGGGGGCGCCAGAGGAGGCAAGGCCUGUGCAGAGGCAGCACCGGAGGCCACUGCAGUGACUCCACCACCCAGCAGCGCCGCCACGAGUCAGGAAGUGGGAGGCCAGGCAGGAGGGGCUGUGAUGGCCCAGGUGCCAGGAGAAAGGGCUGAGGGGACAGUGCAGGCGUCCAGAGAGGCCUCGCGGGGACAGGCUGCGAAAGUCACAGGUGGGGAUGGGCUUUCUCUAGAGUUGUGUGUGGCCUGAGGACAGUGCAGCAAGGAGGGCCCGUGGUGAGCGCAUGCAGCCGAAGCGACAGCUUGGACUCCUUUGUGGGACAGGAGCCUCUCAAGGCCACUGCGGGGUGUUCAGAGAACAAGGCCUGUGAGGAUCUGCUGUGCCUGCAGCUGGUCAGUAGAACACUGGGUGUGCAGGGCCAGGGUGGGAAGGAGGAGAGCCGCAUGGAUGAAGGAGCCGGGCCUGCCCAGCAGUGCCUUUUGGGAGGGCAGGCAGGAUGGGAUGUGCAGCUGUGACCUGCCCGGCAUAGAACUCCUCCCGGCCGGGGAGAGGAGGUCCCUUCUAGCCAGAAUGGACCAGGAGGUCCCAGAAAGACCUGGGAGUAAGUGGAUUGAGUUGGGCCUUAGAAGGAGAGCCGGGAACAGGCCAGGGGAGUUGGAGCCUGGCCAGGUAUGGAGAGAGCAGGGUACACUUGCUGCACCUGUGAGAGGAGCCAGGGGUGGCCUGGUGACCUGGGCCCACUUAGCUGGCUGCAAGUCAUUACUACAGGCUCUGGAUGGAGAGUGCAGAGUAGCACGCUCCUGCUGUCACUCCCUUCUCCAAGUCCACAAAGAGGCAAGAAAGGGAGGAUUUUAAACCCAAUCCAUACUGCAUGGCGGGUGAGAGCAGAGGAGCAAACAGCACUUUUGGAUCCUGGAAAGCAGAGGAUGAGUGAGUGUCCCAGGCAUCACUGACCUGAGAAAGGCGACUCCAAAGCCAGCAGCAGCGACAGCUGGAACUGCCCUAGCCUACACCACAGGACCCCCAGCUCUGGGACUGAGCAGCACCGGGGACCUCUGGGCUGGGGUGGAGAGGGAUGGCUGGAAUCACUGUUGCAAACAAUAUAUUCAGUAGGCAGGCAGCUCCCUAGAUUCCACCAUGGUCUGCAGAGGCCAACACCUGUCCUGACAUCUUACCAGCGGGCCCUGGAGAGCCAUCUCCUACAGAGGCAAAACGAAGGGUCUCUGGGCCAGGACCAGGCCUGUUCAGGGGGAUGUGUGGCUAAGUGCAUAAGGGGUGCUGAGACUAGCCCUCGUGUCCAGGCAGUCCCCAGGACAUGGGUAGCCAGGCCUUCCCCUUCCAGACCAGAAAUGAGAAGACUCCAUCUAAUCUCAUUGCAUGACCAGGGACUGGUGAAGCUGUCAGUUCUCUCUCCAUCCCAGCAGGAGACAACCCGACCUCAGAGAUCCCUCAAUCCAGGGACCCAGCCAGGCCACCCUCCAGAGCAUCUCAGUCUGCAAGCCCCUUGGUAUACUUGGAGCUUCCAGUCACCCCGCUCAUGCCUAUCCAUGCACAGCCAGGGAUUGCCCUUCAUGGAGGAAAACUUCCUGAAACAAACAAGAAACAAGCUCCGUGGGGAACACAGACCGUGGAGGAAAAAGAAAGCUGUAGAAAAAGAUAGUGGACACCUUCAUGGAGGUGCGAGAGCCAUCGUGAAAGGAGAGGAGGUUCUAAAAAGUUCCUAGAGAGCAAAAUAAGGGCCCUUGGGGGCACAAUGAUUGCCACCAUGGAGACACAUUUCGGUGCCACUGGAGUAAAAACACUGCAGACGGGUGAGCCCUCAACAGAUAAAUGUCCCUCACCUUCUUUCUCAGGAAAGAUGGGCAGAAAUGAGGGCAGAAGCCACAGAGAGGAAACCGUGGUGACAGGACCCAGGGUCCUCCAAGCUGCAGUGGAGCAAGUGCUCGGGACAGUGGCGAGGGAGCAGUUCAGCCCCAGGGUGGUGCCUGGCAACCCGUCUCGGGACGUCCCGCCCAGGGCAGCAGUACAGCAACAUGGAUAGAAAGCCGAAUUCCCCAGAAGAGCCUGAGAGAACACUGAAGUGCUUGGCAUAGAGCCUCGGGUUGGAUUCGUAGUACGUACAGAAUGAUCCACAUGUGAAGAUAAGACGAUUAUUGGCUUCAGAGAAAACAGCAGUGCAAGCAAGAAAAGGUAGCUAGUCCCAGUUUACGAUCUGGCAAUAGUGUUUACAGUCGUCACGAUAGAAAUGCCGAGUCAGGAUCUAGUUUACUGUAGAACUCUAUCAGGAGGCCUGGAAGAUAGGGAAUGCAGUUGGUGAAAUGGAAGCUAAAUGCUCUUUUUCCUCAGUGGGAAGGUGUGGCUUGAAGAUGAUUAUAAACUCUCUUUCUGCCUCUUGAAUCUUGCCAGGCUCCGGGGCUGCUAAGCUAAUAAUGUGGCAGAAGGGACACUGCCAGUUGCAGGCCCAAGCCUUCGAGACUGGCAGCUUCCCCGUCUCUGGAAACCCACCUGCCCUUCUGUGAGGAAGCCCAAGCAGCUCUGGAGAAGCCCUUGUGGAGGGGCUGCUCUCAGCCCACAGCCGGCACCAGGUGGGCAGCCAUGCAGACCCCCAGCCUGCAAGCCAGGCCCGCUGAGGCCUCAGAGUACACACAGGCAGUCCCAUCAGCCCUGCCCAGAUGGCAGUUUUGUGAUCAAAAUAUAGACAAUAGACUAUCAUUGUUUAAGGUUGUUUGGGGGUAGUUUGUCACACAACAAUAGAUAGUAGAACAUUAGUAGACUCUGUGUGUGUGUGUGUGUGUGUGUGUGUGUGUGUGUGGCAUAUAUAUAUAGCAUAUAUAUAUAGCUUAAAAUUCAGACAUGAAGUAUCUUAUUUAGCAACAGUGGUAAAUAUUAAAAUAAAAACCAAGAGAGGGGAAAGUGGUUGCCUCGGAGAUGGGAAAAUGCGAGGAGGGAGACAGGGAACUGCUGUUUGUUUUGUUGUAACCUCGUAGAUCGGUUUGAUACUUUAAACUACAUUCACUUAUAAUUUGGACAAAAGUAAAAACUGAAGUUGAAAAAAAAUGUAUUCAUGCUUAGCACAGGAAUGAUCCACAAUUGGAUUCCAAGGCUUGUACAUUCAGCAUAAGGUGUAUGAAACAGUCCACUAUUCUAGCAACAGAUAAAAUUCCUACUGACACGCAACCUCAGGUUCCCACUCGGUUAGAAGGCUGCGUAUGGUCUUCUACUUAAAGCCUCAAGUAACAGUCAUGGCAGUGACAAAUCCUCAUUGCCUCCAUGGAAACUCUAGGCUCAUGUGUGAGCCCAGGCUGGGCUGGGGUCCCUGGGAGCCCAGGGUGAGUGGCCAGUCCCUGGGCAACUCCGUGAGCCAGGAGCGGCUGUGUCACCUGCACGGUCGAUGGGUCUCUUCUGCAGAAGAGUGUGCCCCAGUCCUUGCUGGGCACAGAUGUAAGAGGUGUUCAUGGGUCGAAAUCACAGAUUUCAAGGGCUGAUAGGAGUCAGAGUGGGGACUGGGAGGGCUGAGGCAGGUUAAAGAUUUGAGAGGGGCUGCUGUCUCCGCAGCUGCGUCACACUGCUCUGCUGUCCCCUCCAUGUUCCCCCACUGCGGCCUCCCCUGGGGUCUUGUGGAAGUAACUGAAGGCCCCUCAACCUGGCUCAUCAUCAGAGCAGACUGUUGAUUAGCUGCGGGCAAAUAUGAAGAGGCGAUUUCCUGUCACUGAAAGGCCGUGGUGUGUCUUUCUGAAGCUACGGAGCUGACGCAGGCUGAGCAGGCUGACCUUCCGCUGGAACUGCACAGGCAUAGCCACGCGAAACCACGCCGGUUUGCCCAGGAGACGUGGACAAGGGCCCAGUAGAACGCAGACAAGGAUGGGGCUGCCCAUCUUCAGGCCUCUCACAGCCCCUCUGCUGAAGAUGCAGAAGCCCAGCCCUCCACAGAGUAACGCCCGCCCGAGACUCAGGGCGUCUGUGACAGGGAUCCAGACACACGACUGUUCUUACUUCAGCAAAAGACUGAACCAGCAGAGCCGUGUAUUGGAAGCAAAGCCUCAAAGCACGAUGAACACCUGUAGAGGAGCAGGCAACCCAGUUGCAGGUUUGAAGAGGCAUGUGGAAUUCCUUGUGGCAGAGAAGGAAAGAUUAAGGAAAGAAAGUGUAAACAGGUAAAGGCUGAAAAGGCCAGACUUCUAAAAGGUCCAGUAGAAAAGGAGCUGAAUGUGGGUGCUGAUUUUGUAGAAAAGUCAGUUACGGAGCGUGCCUCUGCAUUCGGAAACCGCUACACCCUCUUCAGCCUUGCAGAGGUUUGCAGCAGAUGCCAGGAACGUCAAGUACGUUCCAGUACCCGAUCUUCUCCCUCGGAUUUUCCAUCUCCAGAGCGUCCCCUUACGGAGCGCUCUCAGGAUAUUCUGAAAGUAUUUGUGAGUAAUUAAAAUGGAAGGCCAUAGAAGAAGGGAGAAGAGGAAAUAGUACUAAAUAAUACAGUUAAUGCAGCAACAAACAAUGAAAAGGGAAAGCCACAGGCAAGGGUAAUGCUGGAAAUGCCUCGUCAUCUGGCGUACUGUGGGAGACGAGGCAUUGCCAGGACGUGGGGAACAGUCACUGUGAAGCGUGUCGCAUAUCGGAUUCACCGACUUGAGCUAAUGAUGCCGACCUGGCAGACACUAAACUCAUGGAGGGUCAGUUUCUCCUGAUACCAACCAAAUGGCUUGCUGGAAGAUUUUUUUCAAGCAGCAAUUAUUUUUCUUAUCGUCAGGGUUAAAAUGUUUAAAAGUAUGUUAUGUGUAAUUAAUCUAUAAUGCCAUAAAUGAUCAUGCAAAACCUAAAUAUUAAAAUGACGGCCUGAGGGGCUGCUUCGUAUUUGAAACAUACUUUGUCUCAGGCAUUGAUGUAUGCAUUUUGUUAAUGAUGUUGUGUUUAAGGUGUGUAAGACACUCCUUUCUAGAUGAAACCAUAUGUGCCACACUGUGCACUACUCGUAACAAUGAUAACCUCAAGACUAUCAGGAGAAAUGUUUAAAUUUCCGUGUUAUGAAGAAACCAAAUUAUUAGUUAUGCUUCUUAACACCAGUUACCAGUUUACAUAAUUAAUAAGGGUGCAUUUUAAGUUCUAACUCUGUUUAUUGCAUAAUGCAUCAUUUGAAAAUACCAAGGAAGUCUGUUCUUUGUUUUUAAUGAUCCGCGAGUGGAAGGAAUGCUAGUUGGCAGUAUUUGAUUGUAAGAAAUCAAUAAAGUAAUUGUAUUUUUUAAAAAAA